rnacentral:rRNA from 1 species
UAACGGCGAGUGAAGCGGCAACAGCUCAAAUUUGAAAUCUGGCACCCGCCCGAGUUGUAAUUUGUAGAGGAUGCUUCUGGGCAGCGGCCGGUCUAAGUUCCUUGGAACAGGACGUCAUAGAGGGUGAGAAUCCCGUAUGCGACCGGCUUGCACCCGUCACGUAGCUCCUUCGACGAGUCGAGUUGUUUGGGAAUGCAGCUCUAAAUGGGAGGUAAAUUUCUUCUAAAGCUAAAUACCGGCCAGAGACCGAUAGCGCACAAGUAGAGUGAUCGAAAGAUGAAAAGCACUUUGGAAAGAGAGUUAAACAGCACGUGAAAUUGUUGAAAGGGAAGCGCAUGCAACCAGACUUGUCGGCGGUGUUCCGCCGGUCUUUUGACCGGUCUACUCGCCGCCGGCAGGCCAGCAUCACUUGGGACCGCUGGAUAAAGGCCUGGGAAUGUAGCUCCUCGGAGUGUUAUAGCCCAGUGCACAAUACAGCGUGCCCCGAGUGAGGUCCGCGCUUCGGCUAGGAUGCUGGCGUAAUGGUUGUACGCGGCCCGUCUUGAAACACGGACCA